AUUGAACGCUGGCGGCAGGCCUAACACAUGCAAGUCGAGCGGAUGAAGGGAGCUUGCUCCUGGAUUCAGCGGCGGACGGGUGAGUAAUGCCUAGGAAUCUGCCUGGUAGUGGGGGAUAACGUCCGGAAACGGGCGCUAAUACCGCAUACGUCCUGAGGGAGAAAGUGGGGGAUCUUCGGACCUCACGCUAUCAGAUGAGCCUAGGUCGGAUUAGAUAGUUGGUGGGGUAAAGGCCUACCAAGGCGACGAUCCGUAACUGGUCUGAGAGGAUGAUCAGUCACACGGGAACUGAGACACGGUCCAGACUCCUACGGGAGGCAGCAGUGGGGAAUAGUGGACAAUGGGCGAAAGCCUGAUCCAGCCAUGGCGAGUGUGUGAAGAAGGUCUUCGGAUUGUAAAGCACUUUAAGUUGGGAGGAAGGGCAGUAAGUUAAGACCUUGCUGUUUUGACGUUACCAACAGAAUAAGCACCGGCUAACUUCGUG
rnacentral:rRNA from 1 species